rnacentral:rRNA from 1 species
GAUGAACGCUGGCGGCGUGCCUAAUACAUGCAAGUCGAGCGAACGGACGAGAAGCUUGCUUCUCUGAUGUUAGCGGCGGACGGGUGAGUAACACGUGGAUAACCUACCUAUAAGACUGGGAUAACUUCGGGAAACCGGAGCUAAUACCGGAUAAUAUUUUGAACCGCAUGGUUCAAAAGUGAAAGACGGUCUUGCUGUCACUUAUAGAUGGAUCCGCGCUGCAUUAGCUAGUUGGUAAGGUAACGGCUUACCAAGGCAACGAUGCAUAGCCGACCUGAGAGGGUGAUCGGCCACACUGGAACUGAGACACGGUCCAGACUCCUACGGGAGGCAGCAGUAGGGAAUCUUCCGCAAUGGGCGAAAGCCUGACGGAGCAACGCCGCGUGAGUGAUGAAGGUCUUCGGAUCGUAAAACUCUGUUAUUAGGGAAGAACAUAUGUGUAAGUAACUGUGCACAUCUUGACGGUACCUAAUCAGAAAGCCACGGCUAACUACGUGCCAGCAGCCGCGGUAAUACGUAGGUGGCAAGCGUUAUCCGGAAAUAUUGGGCGUAAGCGCGCGUAGGCGGUUUUUUUAAGUCUGAUGUGAAAGCCCACGGCUCAACCGUGGAGGGUCAUUGGAAACUGAAAAACUUGAGUGCAGAAGAGGAAAGUGGAAUUCCAUGUGUAGCGGUGAAAUGCGCAGAGAUAUGGAGGAACACCAGUGGCGAAGGCGACUUUCUGGUCUGUAACUGACGCUGAUGUGCGAAAGCGUGGGGAUCAAACAGGAUUAGAUACCCUGGUAGUCCACGCCGUAAACGAUGAGUGCUAAGUGUUAGGGGGUUUCCGCCCCUUAGUGCUGCAGCUAACGCAUUAAGCACUCCGCCUGGGGAGUACGACCGCAAGGUUGAAACUCAAAGGAAUUGACGGGGACCCGCACAAGCGGUGGAGCAUGUGGUUUAAUUCGAAGCAACGCGAAGAACCUUACCAAAUCUUGACAUCCUUUGACAACUCUAGAGAUAGAGCCUUCCCCUUCGGGGGACAAAGUGACAGGUGGUGCAUGGUUGUCGUCAGCUCGUGUCGUGAGAUGUUGGGUUAAGUCCCGCAACGAGCGCAACCCUUAAGCUUAGUUGCCAUCAUUAAGUUGGGCACUCUAAGUUGACUGCCGGUGACAAACCGGAGGAAGGUGGGGAUGACGUCAAAUCAUCAUGCCCCUUAUGAUUUGGGCUACACACGUGCUACAAUGGACAAUACAAAGGGCAGCGAAACCGCGAGGUCAAGCAAAUCCCAUAAAGUUGUUCUCAGUUCGGAUUGUAGUCUGCAACUCGACUACAUGAAGCUGGAAUCGCUAGUAAUCGUAGAUCAGCAUGCUACGGUGAAUACGUUCCCGGGUCU